CCAAAAUCCGACUAGACGAUUAUUACAUUCGCUCUCUAUUCGGAAGGCGGCUAUGCCAUGAUCAAGAGAUCGCGGAGCCGGCGACAGUUUUGGCUCAGAAAACGUACCUCAAUCGAGAGAUGAGAUACGGCGGUGUACUCCUAAUUAUCCCAACUGUCAAAUCGAGAAGAUUGAAAUACUGCUGGUUUUUAAUGACUGGUAUUUUCGUCAGCAUUGGAUUCUAGCGUUGGGGUAACAGUAUGGUCGCGUUUAUCAGAAAUAAUGGGAGACAAGCGUCAGUCGUGCGGAUUCAAGAGGACCAAGAUGGGAGAAGAUUCACAGGGAAACGGAAGAUUGUGAACUGUAAGGAGAUGAUUCGGGCUCUGAGUUGCGGAAAUUCUCAUACGGUUUAACUGUCUGAAGAGGGCCGGGUUCUCUGCUUGGACAAAGCCAAUAGUCCCAGACCGACAUGCUCCAGCUCCUGUUGAUUGCCUGAAUCUGAAGAAGACUGUUUUGAUUUCAUGUGGAGGAGAACAUACUGCCGUUCUGACAAAGGGAGGUGUGGCGUUCACAUUUGGCUUAGGCCGCUAUGGACAGCUUGGACACAACUAUCUCCAGGAUGAACUACGACCUCGAAUGUUAAAGAUCAGACCGACGACCAGAAGAUCGAACACAUUUUUGUCGGAGGGAACCAUUCCUUGCAUUGUGCGCUCUUGGUCAGGUAUGGACACUAUUUGGUUUGAAGCAUUUAGUUAGCAAAACAGGACAUGGUUUGUCCUUUGUACUUAACGUUGCUGUGAUUUUUUUAUUUUUUUUGCGUCACAUUGUCAUCUUCCCAGGAGACUGAAGGUCAAUCUCAGGUCAAAUGACUCAACAAGCUGAAGAAAUCAUUGACAAAUGGAUCUCAGAAUGUGAUUCAAAAUAAUGGAAAAAAGUACAGAAGUAAGUAUGAUAUAAGUAACUAGCAUUUACUGUUGUUUCCUUAUUUUGUUCAUGUUCAGUCACAUACUGAACUGAAAGGUUGAAGCUGUUGUCCAGCACACACUACUUCCCUCCUUGUAUGAGAAGCCCAUUGGAGUGGAGGGCUUGAGGGUCUAUCUGGUUCUCCCUGAGCUCCUGAAUGUCCUUCACAAACAGCACAGAAGGACAGAUCUCACCGAAGCCGUUGCUGCUGCUAUCCUCAGACUGCACCCCGACAAGCUGCAGGUCCUCGGUAAUAUUGCCGUCCAUUUAAAAUGUUUAAAGUGUGUCACCCCAAAUUCAACUAAUCAACAAUAACGUAGUCGUAUAUCUGUUUGUGCUGUAGCCAACUUCUAUUGUCCUUGUUCAUUCGCUGUCUGGAAGAUUUAGACUAGGCUAAAUUAACAAAACCAGAGAUUAUUUGAAUCAAGCGUGGUAGUGCUGGGCUAAAACAUAAUGUGUACACUUUGAGGAUGCCUCUGGAAUGAUUGUGAAGUAGAGCAAAUUCUAUGCUCCCACAAAAUAAUUUGAGAAAGGAAAUAAAAUAAAACAAGGUUAUAUACAGGGGGUGCCAGUACCGAGUCAAUGUGCGGAGGCACAGGUUAGUUGAGGUAAUUUGUACAUAUAGGUACGGGUGAAGUGACUAUGCAUAGUUAAUAAACACUGAGUAGCA